AGCAAUCAGGCAAGAGAAAGAUAUAAAAGCCAUCUGAAUAGAGAGGAAGUCAAACUAUCCCUGAUUCCAGUCAGUAUGAUUCUAUGCCUAGAAAACCCCAUAAUCUCUGCCCCAAAACUCCUUGGUUUGAUAUACAACUUCAGCAAAGCUUCAGGAUACAUUGUCAAUGUACAAAAAUCAGUAGAAUCCCUAUGCACCAACAACAUCCAAGCUGACAGCCAAAUCAAGAAUGCUGUCUCCCAAGCUUGCCGCCAUGGCCACCUACAAACCGGUUCAGAUCUGGCACAGUGAGAGUGCUUGGAACCUGAAGAACCACUUCAGCGGCCGGUAUGACGCCCACCUGAGCCCGGCGGGCCACGAGAAGGCAAAGCAGGCACUGCCAGAUGAUGGCUAUGAGUUUGACAUCUGCUUCACCUCAGUGCAGAAAAGCGCGAUCCGGAUCCUCUGGACAGUGCUAGAUGCCAUUGAUCAGAUGUGGCUGCCAGUAGUGAGGACUUGGCCCCUCAAUGAGUGGCACUGUGGGGCUCUAACCAGUCUCAAUAAAGCAGAAACUGCUGCAAAGCAUGGUGAGGCCCAGGUGAAGAUCUGCAGCCACUCCUAUGAUGUCCCACACCUCCGAGGGAGCCCAACCAUCCUUUCUACAGCAACAUGAGUAAGGAUCACAGGUAUGUAGACCUCACAAAAAAUCACCUACCCUCCUAUGAGAGUCUGAAGGACACUAUUGCCAGAGCUCUGCCCUUCUGCAAUGAGGAAAUAGUUCCCCAGAUCAAGGAGGGGAAACGGGUACUGAUUGCAGCCCAUGGCAACAGCCUCUGGGGCAUUGUCAAGCAUCUGGAGGGUCUCUCUGAAGAGAUUAUUAUGGAGCUGAACCUGACGACUGGCAUUCCCAUUGCCUACGAAUUAGACAAGAACUUGAAGCCCAUCAAGCCUAUGCAGUUCCUGGGGGAUGAAGAGGCUAUGCACAAAGCCAUGGAAGCUGUGGCUGCCCAGGGCAAAGCCAAGAAGUGAAGGCCAGCAAACAGGCUACUGUCCCCAGGAGCACCCUCCCUGCCCAUCACAUCCAUCUGCCCCUCCCUCCUGCACGUCACACUGACCACAUCUGUAGACAUCUUGAGCUGCAGCUGCAGAUGGGAACCGAUGGCUCCCAUUUUCAUUUUAGCCAUUUUGUCUUCUGUACCCACUCCCUUCGUACAUUCUAGUCAGAAUAGCACUUCUAGGGCACAGGUUCUCAGUCUAAGCUGUGGAAAAGCCCCCUUAUCCAAGAGAGUCCAAAGGUCGUGACUUGGGUUUUUGCGAGUGCUUUGUUUACUAAGAACUUGUGAGGAGGAAGCAUGCUAAGCCAUGACCAAUGAGGAGAAGCAAGAGAGCCUGUCUGCCCCCAGGAGCUAGUCCUGUGCUCUUCUGUAGUCAGGCCACUGCCUGGGGACUCUAGUCAUCCCAGUGGAAGAUGAAUGUAACCUGCAUGGUGAUGUGACAACUGUUUCCUCCCUGACCCCAGAGGAAAUGGCUCUAGAAGGUUGGGAUCAAUCCUGAAUUUAGUUUAUGUGUUACAUUUACUUUUAUUAAAAAAAAAAAAAAGUUUAGUGUAUAUAAGUAAUACAAAACAAUAACCCUUCUAAGGGUUUCUCGUGGCAGUUGAAAUAGUCCCACAUCUGGUCGUCAGAAAAUAAGCCAUUCCUCAUACCAAUAUGGGAUAAUCUCCUUGACCUCUGAGGGGCAGGAGUGCUUCCUGCUGUGUGUUUUAGAAUCCCUCCCUUCCUUGUUUUGUGGUAGUGAAAUGCCUCUUGGUCCUGUCCAAGUGUGUCUUUCACUGAUUUCUGAAUCAUGUUCUAGUUGCUUGGCCCUGCCACAUGGGUCUAGUGUUCAUUUGAGCAUAACUGUACUAAAUCCUUUUUCCAGAUCAGUAUAAUAAAAGAGUGAUGUGCAAUAAAAAAAAAA